AAUGCUUAGGAAUCUGCCUAUUAGUGGGGGACAACAUUUCGAAAGGAAUGCUAAUACCGCAUACGUCCUACGGGAGAAAGCAGGGGAUCUUCGGACCUUGCGCUAAUAGAUGAGCCUAAGUCGGAUUAGCUAGUUGGUGGGGUAAAGGCCUACCAAGGCGACGAUCUGUAGCGGGUCUGAGAGGAUGAUCCGCCACACUGGGACUGAGACACGGCCCAGACUCCUACGGGAGGCAGCAGUGGGGAAUAUUGGACAAUGGGCGCAAGCCUGAUCCAGCCAUGCCGCGUGUGUGAAGAAGGCCUUAUGGUUGUAAAGCACUUUAAGCGAGGAGGAGGCUACUUUAGUUAAUACCUAGAGAUAGUGGACGUUACUCGCAGAAUAAGCACCGGCUAACUCUGUGCCAGCAGCCGCGGUAAUACAGAGGGUGCAAGCGUUAAUCGGAUUUACUGGGCGUAAAGCGCGCGUAGGCGGCUAAUUAAGUCAAAUGUGAAAUCCCCGAGCUUAACUUGGGAAUUGCAUUCGAUACUGGUUAGCUAGAGUGUGGGAGAGGAUGGUAGAAUUCCAGGUGUAGCGGUGAAAUGCGUAGAGAUCUGGAGGAAUACCGAUGGCGAAGGCAGCCAUCUGGCCUAACACUGACGCUGAGGUGCGAAAGCAUGGGGAGCAAACAGGAUUAGAUACCUGGUAGUCCAUGCCGUAAACGAUGUCUA
rnacentral:rRNA from 1 species